GACGAACGCUGGCGGCGUGCUUAACACAUGCAAGUCGAACGGAAAGGCCCUGCUUUUGUGGGGUGCUCGAGUGGCGAACGGGUGAGUAACACGUGAGUAACCUGCCCUUGACUUUGGGAUAACUUCAGGAAACUGGGGCUAAUACCGGAUAGGAGCUCCUGCUGCAUGGUGGGGGUUGGAAAGUUUCGGCGGUUGGGGAUGGACUCGGGGCUUAUCAGCUUGUUGGUGGGGUAGUGGCUUACCAAGGCUUUGACGGGUAGCCGGCCUGGGAGGGUGACCGGCCACAUUGGGACUGAGAUACGGCCCAGACUCCUACGGGAGGCAGCAGUGGGGAAUAUUGCACAAUGGGCGGAAGCCUGAUGCAGCAACGCCGCGUGCGGGAUGACGGCCUUCGGGUUGUAAACCGCUUUCGCCUGUGACGAAGCGUGAGUGACGGUAAUGGGUAAAGAAGCACCGGCUAACUACGUG
rnacentral:rRNA from 1 species